ACCAGAUGGACCUUGGCCACAGCUAAUCCAAAUGCACUUCUAUUUAUGAGCAAUGAUGUUUAACACCAAGUGGGAGUUGCUGUCCUGAAAGAGGGUCGGACAAAGACGAAAGCGCUCAUCCAGAGGAGCUGGUCCCGCAAGGGCAGAGGGGCCAACAGCUGUUGCUGACAAGCAGAGGCAAUGGAAGCUAAGCCUAGGAACAGGGCAAGCGAAAACGCCAUCUUUUUUCACAGUGAAUCAUUGAGUGUCGGCUGGGUGCAGCCAGCAAUCUCAUCUCUGGAACAAGAUCGGAAUAAAAAUAAGAUGAUCUAAGAGCCAGAACAAAUGGCAAUUAUAGGCCAUAUCUCCUAACUGUGUUUUUAGCUGGUGCUAUCUGCAAACUAGGAGUGACACACACAAUUCUGUGAAUUUGGGCCACCGUGACUGCCACUAUAGGACAAACAGCACACACAGCCACGUUCAGAAGGUUUUUCACUUCAGACGUACUGCUGUCAUGGCUGUGCCGAUACCGUCUUCUGUUUGCAGACUCAAGACCCUGGGCUGCUUAGGAACUACGAUGGGGGCUGAAGGCUGCUUCUGGAGACGGAUCCCCUCUGCUCCUCUGGCCCUGAUGACCCUGUCUCCUGUGGUCUUCAGCUUCUAUAACACACUGUGGCACUGACAGAAUUGCCAGACUUAGCAGACAAAAAAUAUAGGAUGCCCAAUUAAGUUUGCAUUUAAGAUAAACAAAUUAUUUUUAGUCCAAGAAUGUCUGGUGCAAUCCCUGAGCAUCCUGUAUUUCAUCUGGCAGCCCUAGGCACAGAACAGACACAGGUCUGCCAGGGAAACCCUCUGCCUUC
rnacentral:lncRNA from 1 species